GGUGACGUGUCUGAGCGGCCGAAAGAGCGCGCCUCGAAAGCGCGUGUGGGUUUUACCCACCGUGGGUUCAAAUCCCACCGUCACCGCCA
rnacentral:tRNA from 1 species